rnacentral:rRNA from 1 species
GACGAACGCUGGCGGCGUGCUUAACACAUGCAAGUCGAACGGAAAGGCCCUGCUUUUGUGGGGUGCUCGAGUGGCGAACGGGUGAGUAACACGUGAGUAACCUGCCCUUGACUUUGGGAUAACUUCAGGAAACUGGGGCUAAUACCGGAUAGGAGCUCCUGCUGCAUGGUGGGGGUUGGAAAGUUUCGGCGGUUGGGGAUGGACUCGCGGCUUAUCAGCUUGUUGGUGGGGUAGUGGCUUACCAAGGCUUUGACGGGUAGCCGGCCUGGGAGGGUGACCGGCCACAUUGGGACUGAGAUACGGACCAGACUCCUACGGGAGGCAGCAGUGGGGAAUAUUGCACAAUGGGCGGAAGCCUGAUGCAGAAACGCCGCGUGCGGGAUGACGGCCUUCGGGUUGAAAACCGCUUUCGACUGUGACGAAGCGUGAGUGACGGUAAUGGGUAAAGAAGCACCGGCUAACUACGUG